rnacentral:rRNA from 1 species
UUGAAGUCAAUGAUCCCAUGCUGCCGAGAAAAGCCUCUAGCGAGCUUCGAGCGGCCCGUACCCCAAACCGACACAGGUGGUCAGGUAGAGAAUACCGAGGCGAUCGGGCGAACUAUGGUUAAGGAACUCGGCAAAUUACCCCCGUAACUUCGGGAGAAGGGGGGCCACAGACUGUCAAACUCCAUGCGGGCGGCAGCGGUAGGUGGCCGCAGAGACCAGGGGGAAGCGACUGUUUACUAAGAACACAGGUCCGUGCGAAGUCGUAAGACGAUGUAUACGGACUGACGCCUGCCCGGUGCUGGAACGUUAAGGGGACCGGUUAGUCCGCAAGGGCGAGGCUGAGAACUUAAGCGCCAGUAAACGGCGGUGGUAACUAUAACCAUCCUAAGGUAGCGAAAUUCCUUGUCGGGUAAGUUCCGACCUGCACGAAUGGCGUAACGACUUCCCUACUGUCUCAACCAUAGGCCCGGCGAAAUUGCACUACGAGUAAAGAUGCUCGUUACGCGCGGAAGGACGGAAAGACCCCGGGACCUUCACUAUAGCUUGACAUUGGUACUCGAAUUGAAUUGUGUAGGAUAGGUGGGAGACUAUGAAGCUCGGACGCCAGUUCGGGUGGAGUCAAACUUGAAAUACCACUCUGUUGAAUUUGGGUAUCUAACUUCGGACCGUGAUCCGGUUCAGGGACAGUGUCUGGUGGGUAGUUUAACUGGGGCGGUUGCCUCCUAAAAUGUAACGGAGGCGCCCAAAGGUUCCCUCAGCCUGGUUGGCAAUCAGGUGUUGAGUGCAAGUGCACAAGGGAGCUUGACUGUGAGACUGACAGGUCGAGCAGGGACGAAAGUCGGGACUAGUGAUCCGGCACCUGCGAGUGGAAGCGGUGUCGCUCAACGGAUAAAAGGUACCCCGGGGAUAACAGGCUGAUCUUCCCCAAGAGUCCAUAUCGACGGGAUGGUUUGGCACCUCGAUGUCGGCUCGUCGCAUCCUGGGGCUGGAGUAGGUCCCAAGGGUUGGGCUGUUCGCCCAUUAAAGCGGCACGCGAGCUGGGUUUAGAACGUCGUGAGACAGUUCGGUCCCUAUCCUCCGCGCGCGCAGGAGACUUGAGAAGGGCUGUCCCUAGUACGAGAGGACCGGGACGGACGAACCUCUGGUGUGCCAGUUGUCAUGCCAAUGGCACGGCUGGUUAGCUACGUUCGGAAGGGAUAACCGCUGAAAGCAUCUAAGCGGGAAGCCUGCUUCAAGAUGAGGUCUCCCACCCCUUGAGGGUUAAGGCCCCCAGCUAGACCACUGGGUUGAUAGGCCAGAAGUGUAAGCCUGGUAACAGGUUCAGCCGACUGGUACUAAUAGGCCGAGGACUUAAC